AAAAUUGGGACCCUGUGAAUUCACACAUACAUCAUAUAUCAUGAUAAAGUCACAUGGUGGCCAUUGUUGUGUUGAUUUCACAAUUUGUCAUCCACUGUGGCUGACUGAUAAGGAGUUUCACUACCUAAAGUCACACAGACGCAGAACAGCGCAGGGAGACGACACAGCUACAAACAUACAUUAGAGUUGAGGUAAGAAGUAGAAGUUACUGUAUUUGACCACAAGUGUGUUAAGAUGUCAAAGGGAGUCUAUGAAAUCUCAGAUGGAUUUAAUGACGAUGAGCCUGAUGCAAUGAAGAACACAGACAUUGAUGGCCAAUUAUAUUCCAAUGUAGGAGCCUUCAAGCCCAGUCCAAGAGAUGGAGUUGUUGCUUCAGGUACGAUUGCACGAACACACACACACACACACACACACACACACACACUAUAUUAGACAGGUGAGAUUACCCAGUAUUUCUAUAUCUUUAUUUGUCCCAAUCCUAGAUGAUACAGUAAUACACAUUAUUAAAGAUCUUACUUUAAUAAUGUGUUAUUCAGUACAUGUUCAGUGGUGGAAGAGACCCUCUGGAGUUGCUGCAGUGUGUCUGGGGCUGCUGUGUGUUCUAAUAAUCUUUGACAGUCAGUCUUUGUUGUCAAGUUACAUAAAAGCACAACAUCAAAUGCUCAUAUUUGACUGUUACAUAUGAUAUUUAAUAGAUGUUAACAGUUAGCCUUUUUUCUUCACUUCCCCUCUAUGAUCUAUAUCUUCCUGGUAUGAUAGUGUCCUGUCCAUCAUCACAAAUAGCAAGUCCUGUUCCCUGAGCAGGAGGACUGUGUUGAGAUAUACUCUGGACAAGAUGACCAUGUAUAGACAUGACAUGGUUUAAAAUGUGCCGCAGAAAAUGCUUUCACAAUAACCACUGUAACAAUCUCUCACACACACACACAACUAAGCACACACAUUUUCAAACUUGUAAACAUUUUUGUGUUAGCAUAGCCACAACUUCCCAUGUAAUUUUGUUGAUACUUCCAUAGAGUUAACACCUACAGCAGUGACACAGACAGAGACACGCAGAUGACUCAGAGACAGAGAUGACACUAGAAGCAGAAAAAGUACAGUCUUGUACUGUAGUUGACAAACGACGCCUCCUGGUGGCCAUGUUGGAAGACCACCACAUUAAUUCUAGAAGCAGAGACUUAAUGUAUAGUAGACCUACAUAGAAAGGAAGACCCAGGCAUUGUUGACGAUGUCAAAGGUCAUCUGUGCUGAGCCCGAUAUGAACAAGAAGGUCAAGUUUGACAGGUGAGAUGGAGGAGAGGAUUGUGGAUAUCUACGUCAGUGCAGACACCCUGAGAGACGGUGAGACCAGCACCAAGAGAGAAGAGACAGCAGACACUGCUCCUAAUAAUGGACCAGGAGACCAGCACUCAGAUAACACACACACACACACACACGCACACACAAAACAUAACAGUAUAUUAUGUGUGUCCACAGAGCCUGAUAGCUCAGGGAAGAGACCCUUCCUAGUUGCCACAGUGUUUCUGGGGCUGCUGUGUGUUCUCCUACUGGCUGGGAUCAUAGGCCUGUCUGUCUACUGUGAGUUUGUGUAGAAGUUCAUUGCUUAAUUGUAAGAAGUGUAGGUUACUAAGCCUAUUUAACUGGUGUUUCACGUAGUAACUAUGUGUUUAUACUUUGUAGAUAACAGAGACAUCACAGAUUCUGAGGAUAAAAGGAACAACUUGUCACAGAGUUGUUCCCUUUAUAAGACUAACACAACAGAGAGAGACAACUACAACAAGAGAGAGACCAGCUACAGACCAGAUACAACAACCUGACUGAAGAGAGAGACCAGCUACAGACCAGAUACAACAACCUGACUGAAGAGAGAGACCAGCUACAGACCAGAUACAACAACUGACUGAAGAGAAAGGCCAUAUUCAGCUAAAGCUUUUUGUGAUAGCAUUGUCAGGAGGGAUGGAGAUACUUUGACUCCAGUUUGUACUUCCUGUCUACUAAAGAAGAAAACCUGGGAGAAGAGCAGACAGGACUGUCUGGAUAGAGGAGCAGACCUGGUGAUCAUAAACAGCAGAGAGGAACAGACAUUUGUCUUCAACCUCCACCUGAGAGCCUGGAUUGGUCUGACUGACUGUUACUGAGGGGAUCUGGAAGUGGGUGGACGGCACAACACUGACCACAGGGUACUGGAGCGCAGGACAGCCUGAUGAUAAUGGGAAAGAGGACUGUGUUGAGAUAUACUAUGGACAAGAUGACCCUGUAAAGACAUGGAAUGAUGAAAAUUGUCACAAAUAUCAUGACUGGAUAUGUGAGAAAGUGGUAUAACGAUAAUCCACAGUAACAAACAUUCUCUCUCUCUGUCUCUCUCUCUCUCUCUCUCUCUCUCUCAAUUCAAGGCCUUUAUUGUCAUGGGAAACAUAUGUUAACAUUGCCAAUGCAAGUGAAGUAGAUAAUAUACAGAAGUGAAAUAAACAAUAAAAAUGAACAGUAAACAUUACACUCACAGAGGUUCCAAAAGAAUAAAGACAUGUCAAACGGCGCCCCACAUCAAAAUAUUUUUCAACCAGCACAGACUUUGUAAAAUCACAAAUAUCGGUUAAAUAUUAACUUACUUUUUAAAAAUCUUCCUCUGAUUUGCAAUCCAAAGGGUCCCAACUACAACAUGUAUGGUCGUUAUGCAAGAUAAAAUCCUUCUUUAUAUCCCAAAAAGUCAGUUUAGUUGGAACCAUCGAUUUGAGUAAUCCACUCGUUCAACAUGCAGAGAAAGGAAUCCUAAAAGCUACGGCUAAACUUUGUUAAAACAAGUCCAAAUACGUUUCUAUUGAAUCCUCAGAUACCCUAAAAUGUAAUUCAACUAUAACAUUUCAUACGGAAAGUAGUAUGUUCAAUAGAAAAGCUAAAUUAGCAGGUGCGCGUCUUCUUCGUCACGCACCAGUCUGAUUUCCAACUCUGACUCCCAGUACUAAAACUCAAAAGUCUUCCUUGUUUGGGAAAAAACAAAACUGAAACCUUGAACAACGACUGUUGAUAUCUAGUGGAAGCCAUAGGAAUUGCAAUCUAUGAGCUGGAUUUGUAUACGACCCUAUUACCUUCCAUUGUAAGAGCAUGGGCUCUCAAAAAAAAAAUACAUUCUGUUUGGAUUUUCUUUGGAUUUUCUCCUACCAUAUCUAUUGUGUUAUAGUCUCAUACAUUAUUUUAACAUUUCUCCAAACUUCAAAGGGUUCUCCAUCCAAUGGUACCACUUAUAUGCUUAUCCUGGCUUCUGGGCCGGAGUAACAGGCAGUUUACUUUGGGCACGUCAGUCAGGCGGAAAUUCAGAAAAAAAGACCCUAGCCUGAAGAAGUGAUGAUUCCACCUUCUGGUUAAAGUGAGAGAUGAACUCAACAUAGAGGUGAAAUUGAGACUCUGUCUCAAAACACAUUGGAGAACAGAAUCCAGGGGGACUGACCUUGGACCUUCUCUAAUAGGGUUGAAAGGAGGAGAGGAGGUAGGAGAGGAAUCUAGGAAAAAAUAAUUGAGAUAUAGCCUUAGUGUCAGAGAGAGACAUAGAGGAGGAAGAAAAUUAAGAGUGAGGAAGAGAGCAAAAAUAAUAUGAAUAAUUGUUGUGUUUAGAUUAAGAGGAGAGUAUGUAGACAUACUGUACUCUGUAAAAUGAUUCUUCAUUGGUUUUAUUAGAAACAUGUCAUGUGAUUUGCCAUAGACUUAUGCUUAGUAAAAAAAAGUGGAACCAAUUAUGAACCAAUGCUUAUCACUUUAGUGAUAUGAAUAGCCAAGUCACUUUUGAAUAAAAAAAGGAACAAUUGUCUUUAAUUAACAAG
ensembl:lncRNA